GUGGAUUAAUACAAAUGUUAUUUAAGUUUUAUCAACGAUUUAGGUUUUUAUUCUCUUAUUGAAAAAGCGCGUCGUAACUAACAACAUGGCGAGAAACUACAAAAUCUUCUUACUGACAUAUGUGUUUUUUCUUCUUUUGAUGCACCGAUGUAAAUCAAUACAUUUGAAAGUCGCAUACAUAACAUUUCUUCCCUUCUAUGGGGAAAACCUAAGAGGCGGACGACGAUUUCUUUCCGAGCGUCGUAGAAUAGGAGAGCCGAUUUGUGCUCUCUGCUGAUCUGGACUACAACACGGCGUUGAAAAACGUACAUCAGGGGAUCCAUUUUCAACCGAAGAAUUUGAACUGACUGUUGUACUAGAAAACAAAUUUUGAGGUACUUCAUUGCUAUAAUAAUGUACCCGCCGAGGUGGGCUCUCUUGUUCUGCUGGUAUCUUUGAUAUGCGUUGUGGUGUGAGUGACGUCGGUAUUGAUAGGCUUCGUUCGCUUUCUUCGUUGCCAUGGUAGCGCUGGAUUUGAUCAACAUGACGUUUGACGUGCUUUCCGUGAUAUUCUAUUAUGUAGUGUAAAUCUCCCAGUUGUUUUGAUAUUACUCCUGGAAUCCAUUUAUCCAUUCGAUUAUUUCCAGAAAUAAAGUAUAUUUGUUGUCCCGGAGUGAAAGAUCGGAACGAUGUGUUGAAAUUCGCCUUUUGUUUCUCUGUGAUUCUCGUGCUAGCAUCCAGUGGCCUUACUAAAUCUAACCGAGUCAUUAUAUUUCGUCCCAAAAAUAGUUUUGCUGGAGAUUCAGUUGUCUCGGAAUGAGCAGUUCUUCGAUACUGACACAGGAAUUCAUUUAUAUUCUUCUUCAGAGUGCUUUUAGUUGUGCCCAUGGCUUUGAGGGCUUGCUUCACUGUUUGGACAUAUCGCUCAGCCUGUCCGUUGGUGGCUGGGUGGUACGGUGCUGAAAAUUUGUGGAAUUUAACCCCGCUCAUUUGCAGAAAAUGCUUAAACUCUCGAGCAGUGAACUGUGGUCCGUUGUCGGAUACCAGUGUCGUUGGUACUCCAUAAGAACAGAAAAGCUCGUCCAAUAUACCAACUGUCGCCUCAGUUGUUGACGUAGAAGUGACUCUAACUUCCACCCAUUUGCUGUAAGCAUCGACAACGAUUAGAAGCAUUGAAUCUGCAAUCGGGCCAGCGUAAUCGACGUGAAUGCGCUGCCAUGGGCCUUGCGGAUAUUCCCAAUGGUGACAACUAAAUUUUGGUGGAGAAGGUGCAUUACUUGAACAAUUCCUGCAUGAUCGCACUGCUAGUUCGAUAUCGUUAUCGAUACCUGGCCAAUAAACGAAAGACCGAGCCAAGCUUUUCAUUUUUACUACCCCCAAGUGUGCUACAUGUAGAUCAUUCAAUAUCGCCUGUCUAAGCGACGGUGGUAUGAUUACUCUGUGUUCAUAAUGCAAACAGUUGGCUGCUAAGGUGUACUUGUUUUCCGGAGACUUGUAACCACAACGCGCCAGAUCGUAACCUUUCUCAAGUAAUUGCACAAUUUUUCCCAGGUAUUCAUCCUUGCACGUUUCACGGGCAAUGUGUUCCGCACGCACUGGAAGUUGUUGAAUUUGAUGCAGAGUGAAGCCCUCGAAAUCAUCUUCCAAAGUGUCAUCCUCUUGUUUCAGACAGUUGACUUGAGGCACCGUUUCCUUCGAUAUUCGUGAGCAGUAAUCAGCAUUUGUAUGUUGCUUCGUGGGUUUGUAGACUAUGUCGAAGUCAAAAUGCGCGAGAUAAUCCGCAUAAUUAGCCAUUCGGCUUAUGCACAACGUUGGUAGUGAUUUCUCCGGAUGCAAGAUUUGUGUAAGGGGCUUAUGAUCCGUUAUUAAAGUGAAUUUUCUUGCGUACAAAUAGUGAAAGAACUUUUUCACUGCCCAGACAAUAGCAAGUGCCUCCUUAUCGAUUUGGGGAUAGCGUUGUUCCGUAGUUGACAUACUAGUGCUGGCGAAGGCGAUUGGUCGUUCCUGCCCGUUGCUCAACCGAUGAGAAAGCACAGCACCUAGUCCCGUCUUGCUAGCGUCCGUUGCUAGUAUUAGUGGGAGCGUUGGAUCGUAUUGCAUUAAUACUUGGGGAGAUGUUAGGACUGCCUUGAUAUCCAGAUAAGCUUUAUCGGCUUCAGAAGUCCAUUCAAAAUUAUCGGACAGAAGUACGUCGCGUAAGGCUCUUGUUCUUGAAGAAAGAUUUGGUAUGAAGGCGCUAUAAUAUGUAGCCUUUCCCAGAAAAAGCUGUAAUUCUUCUGUUGUUGUCGGUCGAGGAGCAUCGCGAAUUGCUGCAACGUGUUUAUCUGAUUUAUGCAAUCCAUAACGAUCAAUUCUGUGUCCUAAACAUUCCAGAGAUGGUGCUGCAAAGACGCAUUUUGAUCGAUUCAGACGCAAACCGCUCUCUCUCAAUCUAUCCAAAAUGAUAGUGAGCGCUUGAAGCAGGUUGUCAAAAUCUCUUGCAAACACGAUUAUGUCGUCGUAGAAACUAACGACGAUAUCAUCCAAUCCUUGAAGUACAGACUCCAUGCGUCGCUGCCAAAUAGCGGGUAUGUUUGCCGCUCCAUAUACGGCCCGAGUUGGGCGAAUAAGUCCGUGUGUUAUCGUGUUAAGUGUUAGUAUAUGGCUGAACUCUUCAUCUAUCGGAAGAUGAGUAUACGCAUCGGUCAAGUCCAAAUGGCAAAACAAUGUAGCGCCAUUCAUUUUGUUGAAAAUCGUUUCUAUCUUCGGUAUGGGAUGCUCAUCCACUAUCAUCCGCGGGUUGACAGUUGGUUUAUAGUUUCCGGUAAUUCGCAGUUCUCCAUUUUUUUUCACGACUAUAUGAGUCGGUGAUGCCCACUCGGAGGAAUCAACUUUCUUGAAGAAUCCAGAUGCUAUUUUCUUGUCGAUUUCCGCAGCGUAGCGGUCUCGUAAUGCACACGGUACAUCGUGUGCUUUGGCGAAUAUAGGGAAUAUUUCUGGUUUUAAAUGUACUUUGGCUGGUGGUCCCGUUAAUUUUCCUGCAGUGUCGCUAAAUACAUCUUCGAAGCCUUUCAGCAGAUUCGAAAGACGUAUUGUAUCCAUUGUAUUCAGUCCGGUAGAGCUUAUGGAAUUGAUCGGUUUGUCGGUAGAGAACAGUUCAUGUAGAUUGAUAUGUUCCACAAAAUGGGAAAUCCACUCGCGUCCGAAAAGUGAUUCGGCUUUUCCGGAUACGACGUACAAAUUUAAUUUACGUGUUGAAGCUCCAACAGACACAAGAACUGGAAUACGUCCUAGACAAUUAAUAUGAUGUCCGGUGUAACUCGAAAAUUGUCUGUCCGUUUUUUGUAAUGAGUAUCCUGGUUUAAUCGAUCGCAAUUUUGAUUCGGCAAUUAUGCCGCACGGUGCUCCGGUAUCUAACUCCAUUUGUAGAGCGCGCCCAUCGAUUUUGACAUUAAUCAUUUUCUUUCCAGACGAUGUGAUAUCGUGUACUUGAUUCAGUGGUUGUACCAGGUCUAUUUCCGAUGAUGGCAUUUCGUGUGAGUCUACGAGAUCUGCAGACGAUUCUUGAAUCAUAGAUUUGUUUGCCCGACAUACUUUUGCAAUGUGUCCUUUUAUAUUACAGUGAUGACAACGAGCAUCACGAAAACGGCACUGACUUCUUAUGUGCUGACCGCCACAACCUUUGCAAGGUCCGACUUCUGUGGUAUGAUGAUUGUUUGAUCGCUGGUGAUCACUCCUGAGACUUUUCGGUUGAUUCAAAACUGACUUCUUCCUGAUUCGAAGAUUUUCGUAGCCUAGCUUGUUGGUUUCUUCAAGAAUUGGGGAAGUUACACCCGUGUUAACCUCUCGUGCCGUAUUCCGCGUAGCCUCUAGUGAAUGAGCUAUCUCGUACGCUUCUUUAAAAUUUUCUGGUUUUUUCGCAAUAAUCUCAUCGCACAUAUCGCGGGAUUCUAGACCGUGCAAAAGUUGUUCGAUUAACAUCCGAUCAAGGAAGUCUUCGUAUUCGCAAUUCACCGCACCUUGUCUUAAACGGAGUGCGAACUGGGCGAUUGUUUCUCCUUUUUGUUGAACAAUCUUUCUAAAUUUAAUGCUUUCAACGUAUUUGUUCUUUUUCCGAUCGAAAUGAUUGAUUAGUGUGGCCUGCAACUGGUCAAAGUCGAUGGUAGCUGGGUCUGCCGGGCUCACUAGAAACUUCAGAGCGUUAUUCAACUCUGCUCCCAUAUGUACUCUGGCAUAAUUCGCAUGCUGUAGUUGAGGCACCUGACUUAGCUCUAGUGCCCACUUGAACCGGCUGAAAUAAUCAGAAACGGAUGAACCUUCGGAUGGUUGGUAUUCUGACAUGGAAAAAGUUGGGAUUUUCGGUAAUAGAGGAGCAGCGCCUCCUGCAGCAUCCGGCACUCCGGCAUUUACUUGGUGGAUCGCGUUUCCGAUUGAUGAUCUGAGCGCCUCCGCAAUCAUAGCUGAGAGGGCCCCCAAUAGUUCGGCAUUGUCCGACAUUUUGUUUUACUCCUUCAAUACGCGUUUAGUUCGAAUUGAGCAUUACGAAUAAUUCCCGACCGCGCGAGGGAAUCGGAUCAAUCCCACUUCUGACACCAAAUUCUGUCGUGUAUGUGGAUUAAUACAAAUGUUAUUUAAGUUUUAUCAACGAUUUAGGUUUUUAUUCUCUUAUUGAAAAAACGCGUCGUAACUAACAACAUGGCGAGAAACUACAAAAUCUUCUUACUGACAUAUGUGUUUUUUCUUCUUUUGAUGCACCGAUGUAAAUCAAUACAUUUGAAAGUCGCAUACAUAACACUAUGUUAGAAUUAAAUUAGGAUAAGAAUAUUAUGUAAAAGUGAUGCUACGGCGAAGAAAAACUUAUGUAAACUGCCUUAAGAAAUAAACGUAUUUAUGGAAAAAAAAAAUUCCAACGUCUUCUGGCCGUAACGGUAAGAUGCCUUGUCCGGUCAGAAGACGUACUUCACAUCCGCAUGGUGCUUCUUUAAGAACGGCAGAAUUUUCUUAAGACAUUUCUUCUGGUACACUUACUGAUUGAUGACCAGACCGCUCGGCUUGAACCACGGCUUUGAAAUCCCUCUAUCCCGAUAUGGCGAUGUACAGCCUAACUUUCUUUUCAAAUUUAUUUUUAAACCUAUAUUUUACUUCGGGGGGUGUGGCCGACUUGUCGCUGGAAUAGUAGCUGUCAUUUCCGGGAAUGUGGGUCUUCGAGAGCGGAAAGUACCAGCACAAACAACGUUUCGCGGUUGUUCUGCGUCUGCUCGUCCGUGUACCGGGGGACCGAGUCUUCUUCCGAUAGAUGAUGUCCUCCAUCUUGAGAAUCCGGUGAAUCAAGGUAUGGGAGCAGUGAAAUUUUUGGACGACGUCACGCAAACUCGUUCCGUCCUUGUUGUCGAACAGCUUAUUCAACGCUUCCUACUUCUUCUUCGUCAUUAUCUUCGCAGGACGGCCGCUCAGGGAUGCCAGUAAUCUUCGAUUGAACUGACAACACCCGAGCGUAAAGAAGCAUGCUACUGAUUACUAGAGAGUCCAGAGAAUAGUUCGGAGUCGAUAGUUGAUGUCUUUGCUUGAACCCUAUAGUCGUACCCAAUCCCGCUUAAGCUUUUCUAAUUCUGCAAUAUCUUGUUUGAGUUCAGACCAAGUUCGCCCAUAAACACGUCUCGUUUUUAAUGUUUGUCUAAACAAAUUGAAAUUGAAAACAUAUUCGGGAAGUACUCUUAUGCAACACUAUAUAUCUGUAUAAAAACUGUUAGUAUUUGAUAAAAACCGUAAAUAGUAUUAAGGUAGCGACAAAAAAUAUGAAAUGUGCACAGGUCACAUCAUCGUUUCAUUCUAACGAAGGGAUUUUAUUUAUGAGUUUCGAUGUGUGUUAACUUUAUCCAAUUAACUCGGUUGCGUGUCGAUUGCAAAACCUGAAAUCGCUUUUUUUUGUUGCAGGUGUCAUUUUAUUUUGGUCUGCUGAUCUUUUGGUGCAGUAGCUGGAAUCAAGCUAAAUAUAAGUACAUUUUGCGUUGGUAUCCUAAUUGGGUGAAGGUAUUUAAAUCAUAUCCAGGCGAACAGGUAGCAAACCAUCAGACAUGUUCUCAUGCAGACAUACUCUGAUUUGGAUGAAACUUGAAACACGUCGUUAACAUAGCAAACCAGUGAUUUUGCACGGCAGGAAAGACGAUCUCGACUGAAGUCUGAUUUUGAGAAAGGGGCGAAUGUACUUUCGUAUGCACUUUGCUCAAAUUUUUGUAACUCAAAGAACGUUACUUGCACCGAAAUGGUGCCCAAGAAUAAGUUGUGGAAAAUCUUGCAACACUCUAAAAAAUUAUACACUGGAAAAAAUGUUGACUGAAUGAAUGUUGAAAUGAAUUAGGAAAACAAACAUUUGACGAAAA